rnacentral:rRNA from 1 species
CCUGGUUGAUCCUGCCAGUAGUCAUAUGCUUGUCUCAAAGAUUAAGCCAUGCAUGUGUAAGUAUGAACUAAUUCAAACUGUGAAACUGCGAAUGGCUCAUUAAAUCAGUUAUAGUUUGUUUGAUGGUACUUGCUACUCGGAUAACCAUAGUAAUUCUAGAGCUAAUACGUGAAACAAACCCCGACUUCUGGAAGGGACGCAUUUAUUAGAUAAAAGGUCAACGCGGACCUAGUCCGUUGCUCUGAUGAUUCAUGAUAACUUGACGGAUCGCACGGCCAUUGUGCUAGCGACGCAUCAUUCAAAUUUCUGCCCUAUCAACUUUCGAUGGUAGGAUAGUGGCCUACUAUGGUGGUGACGGGUGACGGAGAAUUAGGGUUUGAUUCCGGAGAGGGAGCCUGAGAAACGGCUACCACAUCCAAGGAAGGCAGCAGGCGCGGAAAUUACCCAAUCCUGACACGGUGAUGUAGUGAUAAUAAAUAACAAUACCGGGCUCUUCGAGUCUGGUAAUUGGAAUGAGUACAAUCUAAAUCCCUUAACGAGAAUCCAUUGGAGGGCAAGCCAGGUGCCAACAGCCGCGGUAAUUCCAGCUCCAAUCGCGUAUAUUUAAGUUGUUGCAGCUAAAAAGCUCGUAGUUGGAUCUCGGGAUAUGUCUGUUGGUCUACCUUAUGGUGUGCACCGUCAGUCGCAUCCUUUCUGCCGGCGAUGCGUUCCUGGCCUUAAUUGGCUGGGUCGUUCCUCCGGCGCUGUUACUUUGAAGAAAUUAGAGUGCUCAAAGCAAGUCUUCGCUCUGUAUACAUUAGCAUGGGAUAACGUCAUAGGAUUUCGAUCCUAUUUUGUUGGCCUUCGGGAUCGGAGUAAUGAUUAACAGGGACAGUCUGGGGCAUUCGUAUUUCAUAGUCAGAGGUGAAAUUCUUGUAUUUAUGAAAGACGAACAACUGCGAAAGCAUUUCCCAAGGAUGUUUUCACUAAUCAAGAACGAAAGUUGGGGGCUCGAAGACGAUCAGAUACCGUCCUAGUCUCAACCAUAAACGAUGUCGACGAGGGAUCGGCGAAUGUUGCUUAUAGGACAUCGCCGGUACCUUCUGAGAAAUCAAAGUCUUUGGGUUCCGGGGGGGAGUAUGGUCGCAAGGCUGAAACUUAAAGGAAUUGACGGAAGGGCACCACCAGGAGUGGAGCCUGCGGCUUAAUUUGACUCAACACUGGGAAACUUACCAGGUCCAGACAUAGUAAGGAUUGACAGACUGAGGGUUGCAUGGAGCAAGGCGAGCCAUGCAUCCGAGGGGGAAUCUUGCCCAUGAAGGCAAGCCAUAAAACAAAAGAGUGCUUUGGGACAAUGUGGCUACUCCAAAUAACCCGAAACACCGGCUUUUGGGGGGCCAUCCGCCGAAAGAAAUUAUAGACUUCCGACAAGCCCCCCGUGGAAUUUGCCUUUUUCCAAUUUUCUAGGGUUGCUUAUGCUAGAAUGACUAAGCCAAAUUUUGAAACAAGGCCAUCUCUUAUGCUUAGAAUCUUUUUGAUAAGCGGAGAUGCCCUAUAGUCGGCUUUCCAGGUCCAGAAAUCCGGGCGUUUCACAUAAAUCUGGUGAAUCCAGCGGACCCAAAGAGAGUCCUUAUUAGCAUGGAUAUUCCAAAGGACCUUGGAGAGGUGAGCACAGUUCCAGGCUUCAAGGUCUCGGAAGCCCAGGCCACCCUCACUUUUGGGAAGGCAACAUUGU